GGAUCCAGACUUUGAUCCUGGCUCAGGAUGAACGCUAGCUACAGGCUUAACACAUGCAAGUCGAGGGGAGACGACAUCGAAAGCUUGCUUUUGAUGGGCGUCGACCGGCGCACGGGUGAGUAACGCGUAUCCAACCUGCCCACCACUUGGGGAUAACCUUGCGAAAGUGAGACUAAUACCCAAUGAUAUCUCUAGAAGACAUCUGAAAGAGAUUAAAGAUUUAUCGGUGAUGGAUGGGGAUGCGUCUGAUUAGCUUGUUGGCGGGGUAACGGCCCACCAAGGCGACGAUCAGUAGGGGUUCUGAGAGGAAGGUCCCCCACAUUGGAACUGAGACACGGUCCAAACUCCUACGGGAGGCAGCAGUGAGGAAUAUUGGUCAAUGGACGAGAGUCUGAACCAGCCAAGUAGCGUGCAGGAUGACGGCCCUAUGGGUUGUAAACUGCUUUUAUAAGGGAAUAAAGUGAGUCUCGUGAGACUUUUUGCAUGUACCUUAUGAAUAAGGACCGGCUAAUUCCGUGCCAGCAGCCGCGGUAAUACGGAAGGUCCGGGCGUUAUCCGGAUUUAUUGGGUUUAAAGGGAGCGUAGGCCGGAGAUUAAGCGUGUUGUGAAAUGUAGACGCUCAACGUCUGCACUGCAGCGCGAACUGGUUUCCUUGAGUACGCACAAAGUGGGCGGAAUUCGUGGUGUAGCGGUGAAAUGCUUAGAUAUCACGAAGAACUCCGAUUGCGAAGGCAGCUCACUGGAGCGCAACUGACGCUGAAGCUCGAAAGUGCGGGUAUCGAACAGGAUUAGAUACCCUGGUAGUCCGCACGGUAAACGAUGGAUGCCCGCUGUUGGUCUGAAUAGGUCAGCGGCCAAGCGAAAGCAUUAAGCAUCCCACCUGGGGAGUACGCCGGCAACGGUGCAACUCAAAUGAAUUGACGG
rnacentral:rRNA from 1 species